UAAAGACAGUACCAGACCACAACAGAUAAAGACAGUACCAGACCACAACAGAUAAAGACAGUACCAGACCACAACAGGUAAAGACAGUACCAGACCACAACAGAUAAAGACAGUACCAGACCACAACAGAUAAAGACAGUACCAGACCACAACAGAUAAAGACAGUACCAGACCACAACAGGUAAAGACAGUACCAGACCACAACAGAUAAAGACAGUACCAGACCACAACAGAUAAAGACAGUACCAGACCACAACAGAUAAAGACAGUACCAGACCACAACAGGUAAAGACAGUACCAGACCACAACAGAUAAAGACAGUACCAGACCACAACAGAUAAAGACAGUACCAGACCACAACAGAUAAAGACAGUACCAGACCACAACAGAUAAAGACAGUACCAGACCACAACAGAUAAAGACAGUACCAGACCACAACAGAUAAAGACAGUACCAGACCACAACAGAUAAAGACAGUACCAGA